rnacentral:rRNA from 1 species
AAACAUAGCGAACGGGUGAGGAAUGUAAAAUAAAUUACCUUAUGGUCUGGGAUAAUAUAGGAUAAUUUUAUUAAUUAUUUCAUAUAAAAUACCAGAUAAAAAUCAAAAAUAAAAAUAUAAUAUUCAUUGAAAAGUUGAAAAACGCCAUAAGAUAUUGUUUUAUAGUAUUAGAUACACAAAUAAAUUGUUUUUUUUAUUCAAUUUAUUUGUUUCAAAAAUGCUUAGUGGGUCUUAACGGAUGUACCACCACACUGGAACUGAAAGAAGGUCCAGGCUUUUUAAAAGACAGCAGUGAGGAAUAUUGGACAAUGAGCGAAAGCUUGAUCCAGCAAUACCACGUGGGUGAAGAANGUAAUUUUAUUGUAAANCCCUUUCANUAAAAAAGAUAAUGACAUUAUUUANAGAAGAAGCUCCGGCCAAUUCUGUGCCAGCAGCCGCGGUAAGACAGGAGGAGCAAGUGUUAUUCCCAGUUAUUAGGUGUAAAGUGCUUGUAGACGCUUUUAAUAGUUAAAUCAAAAAGACCAUGGACUUAAUNCUGGUAGUAGGUUUAAAACAUUUUUAGUAGAGUAUAGCAGAGGAUAGUAGAAUUUUUAAUGUAAGGAUAAAAUCUAAAGAUAUUAAAAGGAAUUCCAGUGGCGAAGGCGGCUAUCUGGGCUAUUACUGACGUUGAAAGGCGAAAGCUAGGGUAGCGAAUGGGAUUAGAGACCCCAGUAGUCCUAGCCGUAAACGAUAGAUGUUAAAUGUUAGAUAUAUAGACAUAUUUAGUGUUACAGUUAACGCGUUAAACAUCUCACCUGAGAAGUACGGCCGCAAGGUUAAAACUCAAAGGAAAUGACGGGAAUUCGGAACAGCGGUGGAUCAUGUGGUUUAAUUCGACAAUACGCGCUAAACCUUACCAUCCCUUGCAAUUUAUAAACAGGAGUUGCAUGGUUGUCGUCAGUUCGUGUUUUGAAAUGGUAUGGUUUACUCCUUUUGCAUUAAAACGAACGAAACCCUGAACCUUUAUUGUAUUUUUGUAAGAUAUGUUUAUAAAAUAUUUCUUUAAGGUGAUUGCCAGUGAAAAUUGGAGGAAGCAGGAUUACGUCAAAUCUUCAUGGCCCUUAUGGGAUGGGCUACACAUGUGAUACAAUGGUAUAACAAAAAGUAGCACGUUGGUGACAAUUAGCUAAUCUUUAAAUAUUACCUAAGUUCGGAUAAUAAACUGAAAGUCGUUUAUUUGAAGUUGGAAUCGCUAGUAAUCGUAGAUCAGCA